GUCUCCGAGCGGCGGGCCGAGGGAGGGCGCAGCAGCUGCUCCCUGAACACUUUCUGACCCAACAGUCCCCCAGCGCCGGACGCGCCGCGCCCUGGCGGCUCUAGGGACCCCCCCCGCGCCUGCACUUAGCCCCGCGCCCGAGUCCACAGACAAACGAAUUUAAAGGAGCAACCGAGGAGGCACCUGCGAAAGAAAGCCCACACACAGGUGAAUUUAAAGGAGCAGCCCUGGUGUCACCUAUCAGUAAAAGAAUGUUAGAACGACUUUCCAAGUUUGAAGUUGGAGAUGCUGAAAAUGUUGCUUCAUAUGAUUGUAUAACCAUUCACCAGCUUGUGUCAAUGCUGGAGAGGAAGUACGGCCAUAGAGGAAGUUAACUCACCAUGGUUGUAAGCUGUUGGUGUCUAAACAAAGAUUGGAAACAAAGAGGGCAAAUACAAGUAGUUCUUCAAAUUACCCUGAAUUUGCCACUGAAUUAAACUGUGUGUCUGCAGAUUAGCUAUACGUUUUCUGUAAUGGAGCUGCCCAGGGCUGAAACAAAAUUAGAUUAAGCAAGGCAAGCAUUUCCUUCUUUCCUGACUCCAAACAAAAUAAAGCAGGUUUUCAUUUUAUUUUAUUUUUAAAUUACAAAGUCUCAUUACGUAGAUAUAGGAGGAAUUUGCAAUAGUCCCUGUGAGAAAUGCUGGUGUUUCAUACCAGGGGGAUGAUACUGGAUUUAUAGUAAAAGCUGGAAUCAGUGCUUGGCUUUGGCAUAUCAUAUAUUCAUUCACCUGAUACUCAGCAAGUCACUAACCC
rnacentral:lncRNA from 10 species